UGCCCAAAGGCACAUAUAUACAUAGAGAUAAACAUGGGCUAUACAUAGAGGAAAAUAGACCAUUUCAGUGAACACAAAGAUGUAUCCAAGCCUCAUUUUGUCCUUCUUAGAAGGAGAACGACCCUCUGUUUUGGCCAUUUUCUCUGAAAUAACGCAGCAGCUACUCUUAUUAUUUCCAAGCUCGUGGUGACGUGAAAAAUAGGAGGGCUAUCCGUGGGAACAACCUCAAGGAAUGGCAACAACCAGAAGAAAUCUUCAAGAGUUAGUUUCAAAGUUUAAUCUUAGUGUUGGAACCCCAAGAAAUUAAUGUUCGUUGGGUCAUCUGGGACUCGUGGCACUCUCGUUAGCCCAUGAAGGAAUUGAGGUACAGACGUUCGUUCAGGUGACCCGCCAGUGUAGGAUACUUAUUCUGCUAUUUGGAGUACUCCUUUUGAUCCGGAGCUCAUAUUUUUGGUACAUAUCUUCUGUUAUACAUGUUCUGUAUAUAUGGCUAUUUGGGUACGGCGGGGCCCUGUUCCGUCAUAUGUUUCUGUUAUGGUUUGUAGAGGCCUGUAGUCAUAUAUGUGGGUCAUGGGUCACGUUUGUUCGAUUAUGUUUGUGAUUUGUGCCUUAAGCGGCCCCAUUUGCUAUUAUGGCCAAAACGGCCCUUAUGUUUGUAAAUGUAUGUGUAUUCGGGCGAUGUAUAUUCCGCCAGCCUACCGGAUUUUGAUAUGAUAUUUCGGUACGGGUGACCGCUUAGGAUGAUAUCUGUUUUCAGU